UACAGAGGGAGCAAGCGUUGUUCGGAAUUACUGGGCGUAAAGGGCGCGUAGGCGGCCUGUUAAGUCGAACGUGAAAUCCCCGGGCUCAACCCGGGAACUGCGUCCGAUACUGGCAGGCUUGAAUCCGGGAGAGGGAUGCGGAAUUCCAGGUGUAGCGGUGAAAUGCGUAGAUAUCUGGAGGAACACCGGUGGCGAAGGCGGCAUCCUGGACCGGCAUUGACGCUGAGGCGCGAAAGCCAGGGGAGCAAACGGG
rnacentral:rRNA from 1 species